UACGAAGGAUGCAAGCGUUAUCCGGAUUCAUUGGGUUUAAAGGGUGCGUAGGUGGCCUUAUAAGUCAGUGGUGAAAUCUCUCGGCUUAACCGAGAAAUUGCCAUUGAUACUGUAGGGCUUGAGUAUAGUUGCCGUUGGCGGAAUAUGACAUGUAGUGGUGAAAUACAUAGAGAUGUCAUAGAACACCGAUUGCGAAGGCAGCUGACGAAACUAUAACUGACACUGAGGCUCGAAAGUGCGGGGAUCAAACAGG
rnacentral:rRNA from 1 species